GCUGUGCAGAUGUCAUUGCUGUACUAAUAAACAAAGUACUUACUUUGCAAGAGGACCAGGGAAUGCUGUGAGGACUCCAGGCUGCUCCUGUGGGAUCUGCUGAGGGAGAUCAGAGGAAGCAGGGAAGAGGAGAUGGACAGGAGCAUCGACAAUCUGAGAAGAACCAGCCUCUAUUUCCCAGUUGGCCCCUUGACCAGGUUGAUCCUGUUGGUUCACUGGUGGAGAGAUGGGAUGGUCGACCAAGAUAGGCUUCACUGGUGGAGAGAUGGGCCGUUCAACCACGACGGGUUUCACUGGUGGAGAGGUGGGCAGCUCAACCAUGAUGGGCUUCACAGGUGGAGAAAUGGGCAGCUCAACAAAAAUGGGAUUCACUGGUGGAGAGAUGGGCAGCUCAACCACAAUGGGCUCCACUGGUGGAGAGAUGGGCAGCUCAACCACAAUGGGCUUCACUGGUGGAGAGUUGGGCAGCUCAACCACAAUGGGCUUCACUGGUGGAGAAAUGGGCAGCUCAACAAAAAUGGGAUUCACUGGUGGAGAGAUGGGCAGCUCAACCACAAUGGGCUCCACUGGUGGAGAGAUGGGCAGCUCAACCACAAUGGGCUUCACAAGUGGAGAAAUGGGCAGCUCAACAAAAAUGGGAUUCACUGGUGGAGAGAUGGGCAGCUCAACCACAAUGGGCUCCACUGGUGGAGAGAUGGGCAGCUCAACCACAAUGGGCUCCACUGGUGGAGAUAUGGGCAGCUCAACCACAAUGGGCUUCACUGGUGGAGAGUUGGGCAGCUCAACCACAAUGGGCUUCACAAGUGGAGAAAUGGGCAGCUCAACAAAAAUGGGAUUCACUGGUGGAGAGAUGGGCAGCUCAACCACAAUGGACUUCACUGGUGGAGAGUUGGGCAGCUCCAUCACGAUGAUAUUAACUGGUGGAGAGAUGUGCUCCUCAACCCCGAUGGGCUCCACUGGAGGUGUAGGGAAGACAUUCUGGGCCCUUUGACAUCUCUGAGUUGUAGGUGGAGGGAAAUAAUCCGAUAGGGAGGGAGGAGGCAGGGUAGUUCUGGCCUGUGGAACUGAAGUUUCCAUGUCUUUCUUUCUUUUUUUAUGUCGCUGUGUCUGACCCUUCAGUGAAAUAAGUUUCGGCGGUGGUUGGACAAAUUGGGAAAGGACAUAAACAAAUCAAAAUGCAUUCGAGACAUACUAUAUGCCGAAUAUAACAAGUGUAGAC
rnacentral:lncRNA from 1 species